rnacentral:rRNA from 1 species
UACGGAGGGAGCUAGCGUUGUUCGGAAUUACUGGGCGUAAAGCGCGCGUAGGCGGCUAUUCAAGUCAGGGGUGAAAUCCCGGGGCUCAACCCCGGAACUGCCUUUGAAACUGGGUGGCUAGAAUCUUGGAGAGGUCAGUGGAAUUCCGAGUGUAGAGGUGAAAUUCGUAGAUAUUCGGAAGAACACCAGUGGCGAAGGCGACUGACUGGACAAGUAUUGACGCUGAGGUGCGAAAGCGUGGGGAGCAAACAGG